GACGAACGCUGGCGGCGUGCUUAACACAUGCAAGUCGAACGGAAAGGCCCUGCUUUUGUGGGGUGCUCGAGUGGCGAACGGGUGAGUAACACGUGAGUAACCUGCCCUUGACUUUGGGAUAACUUCAGGAAACUGGGGCUAAUACCGGAUAGGAGCUCCUGCUGCAUGGUGGGGGUUGGAAAGUUUCGGCGGUUGGGGAUGGACUCGCGGCUUAUCAGCUUGUUGGUGGGGUAGUGGCUUACCAAGGCUUUGACGGGUAGCCGGCCUGAGAGGGUGACCGGCCACAUUGGGACUAAGAUACGGCCCAGACUCCUACGGGAGGCAGCAGUGGGGAAUAUGGCACAAUGGGCGGAAGCCUGAUGCGGCAACGCCGCGUGCGGGAUGACGGCCUUCGGGUUGUAAACCGCUUUCGCCUGUGACGAAGCGUGAGUGACGGUAAUGGGUAAAGAAGCACCGGCUAACUACGUG
rnacentral:rRNA from 1 species